UGCAGAACCUACAGUGUUGGAACAACUGCA
rnacentral:piRNA from 1 species